rnacentral:misc_RNA from 1 species
AUCGGACGGUGACUCUUUAUCCUCAAACAUGACCAUGCUGAAUCCUCAACCGCUGGAUCAGCAGGAAGACGAGGAGAUGCUUGUGCCACAUUCUGAAUUAGUUGAAGGUCCUCAGCCUUUAGUUGAAGGGCCUCAGCCAAUGGAAGUGGCAGCUUCUGAGAAUGCUACUACUGGGGAGAACCAAGCCGUGGACGAGCCUCAGGCUUCCCGGUUUACAUGGACAAUUGAUGAAUUCUCUCGGUUAUCUGUGAAGAAGCUAUAUUCUGAGCCUUUUGUUGUUGGUAGUUAUAAAUGGAGAGUGCUUAUAUUUCCAAAAGGAAACAACGUGGAGUGUUUGUCAAUGUAUUUAGAUGUGGCAGAUUCAGCUACAUUGCCAUAUGGGUGGAACAGAUAUGCACAGUUCAGCUUAACAGUUGUAAAUCAGAUAAACCCCAAAUAUUCAGUGAAAAAAGAGACGCAGCACCAGUUUAACCAAAGAGAGAGUGAUUGGGGCUUCACAUCAUUCAUGCUUCUAAGUGAUCUUUAUGAUCCCAAUAAGGGAUAUCUUGUAAAUGAUAAAGUUGUUAUUGAAGCUGAUGUUGCUGUAAGGAAGGUCAUUGAUUACUGGACAUAUGACUCGAAGAAAGAGACGGGAUAUGUUGGGCUUAAGAAUCAGGGAGCUACUUGUUACAUGAACUCUCUCCUUCAAACCUUGUACCAUAUCCCCUACUUUAGAAAGGCUGUGUAUCAUAUGCCA